rnacentral:rRNA from 1 species
UACGUAGGGGGCAAGCGUUGUCCGGAUUUACUGGGCGUAAAGAGCGUGUAGGCGGCCACGCAGGUCCGUUGUGAAAACUGGAGGCUCAACCUCCAGCUGUCGACGGAAACCGUGUGGCUAGAGUCCGGAAGAGGAGAGUGGAAUUCCUGGUGUAGCGGUGAAAUGCGCAGAUAUCAGGAAGAACACCAAUGGCGAAGGCGACACUCUGGGCCGGUACUGACGCUGAGGAGCGAAAGCGUGGGGAGCAAACAGG